ensembl:lncRNA
AAAUGGAUAUCUAAAUUAGGUCUUGGUAGAAUUCAUUAGAAUAACCAAGCUGGAAUCCAUCAGAACAUAAAAAAACAAAAACAAAAUGCUCUUUAAAACAAGUGUACUGAAAUGCGCCCAAAUCACCAUGUCAUGUUGUGACAUACUAAGUCAGUAUAUGUGGCCAUCACUGCAGUUGUCUGCAGUUCACAGCAUUGCUGCCUCUCUCGGACGUGUUGUUCUCAGUCACACAAUGCAAUCUUCUUUGCUAUCUCUUCAAAAGAUAUUAGGAAAUAGUGUAGGGACCAAUCUUCAAUUAUACACCUACCUCUGAGUCUGUGUUUACCCAAAGAACCCGUGAGACCUUUCAACUGAAUCCAAGAAUCCUUGUUUUAAUUUUUUAAUGUAAAAAAAAAAAAAGCAUUGCUGUGGAAAGUAUUUUCAUAUAUUUCAAGAUCCACUAAAAUGAUCAUAACUUUUGACAUGCUAACUUCACAUACGGGUGCUUAUUUUAAUGAAAUGAUAAAAAGUAUUACAUUUGCAAAGAUGUUCACCGAAGCAUAUCUAAAGAAGGGGAAAAAAACUAUAAACAAAGCAUAAAACAGCAGAGAAAAAAAAAUAGUUAAGUAAAUGAUGGUUCAUCCGUAAGGGAAAUACAAGGCUGAUAUUUAAAAACAAGUCCAAAAAUCCAAAGCAAAAGCACUGAGAAAUAAAUUAAAUCUUUCCUGUUAUCUUUCAAAGAGACAACGAAAGAUUUGCUUUGUACAACCCAGAACAACAUAUCCAAAGGAGGCAACAUACAGUGUAGGAAUUACAGGUUCUACAAGUUAAAUGACAUCGUGGAGAAGCAAACAGACAAAUUCAGAUUGGAUACUUCUAUGGGACAGUGGACCGGGUUUUUCUCAACAACAUGACUUUUUUAAAAAGGUGAACAUUUUUGGAGUUCCCAUCGUGGCUCAGUGGUUAACGAAUCUGACUAGGAACCAUGAGGUUGCAGGUUCAAUCCCUGGUCUUGCCAGUGGGUUAAGGAUCCGGCACUGCCGUGAGCUGUGGUGUAGGUUGCAGACGAGGCUCGGUUACCAACAGAAGCAGCCCAAGAAACAGCAAAAAAGACAAAAAAUAAAUAAAAAUAAUAAAAAAUUAAAAAAGAAAGACAUUUUUGAAAUAAUCAAGGAAAUCUGAAUAUGAUUGGAUUAUACGUAAUAUUAAGGAAUUAACAGCUAAUUUUGUUAGGUAUCAUGAUGGUACUACAGUUACAUAAGAAAAUAUCCAUAUUUUCUAGAAAUGUAUAAUAAAGUAUGAAGGGGCCAAAUGCUACAAGGACUGGAACUUGCUUUAAAAUAAUAAUUCAGUCGCAAUAAUAGCCAUAACAACAAAGCACAAAGCACACAAGUGUACCAGUUCUACAGUAACCUGCCUGAGUAGCUGCAAUUUUGAUCCAACACUUAUCAGUCAUAUGACCGAUAGUAUGGCAAGCUACUUAACUUCCCAAGGCCUUAGACUCCUCUUCUGUUUACUGUACCCUCUUGUGUGAUACCGGUCACUUCUAUUGUCUUAAGUCAUUGCAAAGAUCAAAUGGAAUGAGCUCCAUAAAGUACUCAGCACAACACGUUAGCUAUUAUUAUCAUCACUGUUAACCAGUAUGCUCUCCACUCAUCUAGGACCCCAAACCGCACUCACCAAAAACACUGAACCCUUUGAAAUCUUCCCUGCGUCUUUCUCUCCAGUUCUUGGUUUUUUCUAGUUUCCUCCCUCCCUAGCCUCUGUCUCCUUCUUUAGGAUCUAGAACCCACGUUUUAAGUGUGAACACUGAACAGACAUUUCAUUAAUUUUUAAAGUGAUUUUAUUUUUAAAAACUAAAUUAGGAAAACUAUGGAACAACAUGGAAAUCAAGAGAAUACAAAAUGAACCAGUAUAAUCAAACCCAGAUAUAAACAUGGAAAAGGAUCAAAGAAAACGUAGAAUAUAUAAAUGGAGCUUUUCUGAAUGAUUUUCCUUACACCUAGUGAUCUCUGUCAUUGGGAUCAAGCAAGAAAUUUAAAAAAAAAUCCAUAGACUUAAGGGACCCUAGGAACAAUUAAAUAAUAAUACAUGGGUGUGUGUUUUGAUGGAGCAGGGCAUAUUUAGCUACAGAGCACAAAAAGGAAGUGCAAGACAUAAAAAUAGUACCAGUAACAGUAAACUUCUUAUCUCAUUGAUUCCAUCCAUGCAUCAUGCGUGUGUGACCUUCGAGGUGACACACGGUCUUAUGCUUAGAAGGGCCAGCACUUGGUGUAAUGCUCUGCUAUCACCGUUUUGAAAUUCUUAACUUUUAAACAAGAGGCCCCACAUUUUCAUUUUGCACUGUGCCCCACAAAUUACAUAACCAGUCCUGACUUCUUAUGUACCCUACGAGACUGGCACUAUUGUAAUUCCAACUUAAAGAUGAGAAAGCUGAGGCUUUAUGAAGUUAAAGGACUUAUCUAAAGUCACACAGCCAGCAAGGUUAAAGGACUUACUUAAAAGUCACACAGCCAGCAAGUGACAGGACUUGAACACAGGCUCCACAGAAGAAUACAGAAAGAAUUCAAAGAGGAAGACAGAGAGGGGGGAAGGGGAAAAUAAAAAAGGUCAAGUAAGUCCGGGAACUAGGAUUUUAUCACCUGGCUUGGGGCUGGUUCCUGACUGAUCACGCAAUCAAGGUCAUGGGUUUAGGCUGAGAGUUAAGGCCACCCCAAGGAGGAGUCUACUCUAGAGCCCAUUCCAGGCUCUAUAUCACAGGACUGCCUGAGUAGAACAUGGAAAGGGUACAGACACCCAUCAGCCCUUCUGGAAACACGAUCUAUAGUAAGGAAGGGCCAGCACUGUCUUCCUAUUGAAAACUGGCCAACUCUUAGGAGGCUCCUUGGAAAACUAAAGCAGUCAAGGAUGAGGAUGAGCCUGUUACUUUGUUAAAAUGAAACUUUAAAAACUAUGCUUCCACACAAAGCUUUCUUAGCUUAGGCAGCGCAGAAAACUGCUGGUCUUUCCAUGUCCUAUAAUUACUCCAGGAAGUCCCAGGGCUCUGCAGGCAUCAAGGGCCCAAUAGGAGGAGCUGCUGGACUCAAUAAUUCCUCACAUUCUCCUCAGAGCCACCUUUUGGGCUUCCUUUUGCCUGACUCUGGAACAACCCAGGAUCAGGAGGAUCAUCUUGUCAACAUUAACAAAACACAGAGCCACACAACGUCUUAAGGGUUCUUUCCAGGAGGUUUAGUGGCUGUGAUUCUUCCUUUAAAUGGAUCCUUAGACUUAGAGCACAUUUCUAAAGAAAAAAAAAACAAAAAGCAAAAAAACUUAGACAUCAGGGAAACAGUCCCCAGAUGAGUAAUAAGAAAACAAUCCCUCAGCUGCCAUCAGUGGUUUCACUUUGGUUAAACGCAUUUUAUUCUGUUGUGUUUUUUUCCGUUAAAGCCAGAGGGUGAGGCCACAGCCCUGUGUGGAAAAGGUUGUGAAGACUUCUCAUGGUAAUCAGUGGCAAUGGGACAGAUUUUCAAACAAGAAGCCAGAAUGUAGGGCGCAAACCUAAAGCAGAGAAGAAACUCCUGUCCCUCCUUGGGAUCCUCUCCCCAUAUCCAGAUCUG